UACCGUUCCUUCCAAUCACUCUCUAGCAGAGCUGGGCGGGCCGUGACAGGAAGAAUGAUGCUGUAGCCUGCAUGGUAGCGUACGAGAUGCUCCCAACGUCAUUGGUCUCAUCCGGUCGCUCCCGACGAUUGCCGCCU
rnacentral:sRNA from 16 species